rnacentral:rRNA from 1 species
AUGUACUCGCGUCCUAUCUUGUUGUUGAUGAGGUGAUGGCUCACCGAGGCGACGACGGGUAGCCGGGCUGAGAGGAUGACCGGCCACGCUGGUACUGAAACACCCCCCAUACUCCUACGGGAGGCAGCGGUGGGGAAUAUUGCACAAUGGGCGCAAGCCUGAUGCAGCGACGCCGGCGUGAGGGAUGACGGCCUUCGGGUUGUAAACCUCUUUCAGUAGGGAAGAAGCGAAAGUGACGGUACCUGCAGAAGAAGCGCCGGCUAACUACGUGCCAGCAGCCGCGGUAAUACGUAGGGCGCAAGCGUUAUCCGGAAUUAUUGGGCGUAAAGAGCUCGUAGGCGGUUUGUCGCGUCUGCCGUGAAAGUCCGGGGCUCAACUCCGGAUCUGCGGUGGGUACGGGCAGACUAGAGUGAUGUAGGGGAGACUGGAAUUCCUGGUGUAGCGGUGAAAUGCGCAGAUAUCAGGAGGAACACCGAUGGCGAAGGCAGGUCUCUGGGCAUUAACUGACGCUGAGGAGCGAAAGCAUGGGGAGCGAACAGGAUUAGAUACCCUGGUAGUCCAUGCCGUAAACGUUGGGCACUAGGUGUGGGGGACAUUCCACGUUUUCCGCGCCGUAGCUAACGCAUUAAGUGCCCCGCCUGGGGAGUACGGCCGCAAGGCUAAAACUCAAAGGAAUUGACGGGGGCCCGCACAAGCGGCGGAGCAUGCGGAUUAAUUCGAUGCAACGCGAAGAACCUUACCAAGGCUUGACAUGAACCGGAAAGACCUGGAAACAGGUCCCCCACUUGUGGUCGGUUUACAGGUGGUGCAUGGUUGUCGUCAGCUCGUGUCGUGAGAUGUUGGGUUAAGUCCCGCAACGAGCGCAACCCUCGUUCCAUGUUGCCAGCGCGUUAUGGCGGGGACUCAUGGGAGACUGCCGGGGUCAACUCGGAGGAAGGUGGGGACGACGUCAAAUCAUCAUGCCCCUUAUGUCUUGGGCUUCACGCAUGCUACAAUGGCCGGUACAAAGGGUUGCGAUACUGUGAGGUGGAGCUAAUCCCAAAAAGCCGGUCUCAGUUCGGAUUGGGGUCUGCAACUCGACCCCAUGAAGUCGGAGUCGCUAGUA